rnacentral:rRNA from 1 species
CAGCCGCCGCGGGAAUACGAAGGGGGCUAGCGUUGUUCGGAAUUACUGGGCGUAAAGCGCACGUAGGCGGAUAUUUAAGUCAGGGGUGAAAUCCCGCAGCUCAACUGCGGAACUGCCUUUGAUACUGGGUAUUUUGAGUAUGGAAGAGGUUAGUGGAAUUGCGAGUGUAGAGGUGAAAUUCGUAGAUAUCCGCAGGAACACCAGUGGCGAAGGCGGCUAACUGGUCCAUAACUGACGCUGAGGUGCGAAAGCGUGGGGAGCAAACAGGAUUAGAUACCCCAGUAGUCCCUGUCUCUUAUAC